rnacentral:rRNA from 1 species
GUGGGGAAUCUUGCGCAAUGGGCGAAAGCCUGACGCAGCCAUGCCGCGUGAAUGAUGAAGGUCUUAGGAUUGUAAAAUUCUUUCACCGGGGACGAUAAUGACGGUACCCGGAGAAGAAGCUCCGGCUAACUUCGUGCCAGCAGCCGCGGUAAUACGAAGGGGGCUAGCGUUGCUCGGAAUUACUGGGCGUAAAAGGCGCGUAGGCGGACAGCUUAGUCAGAGGUGAAAGCCCAGGGCUCAACCUUGGAAUUGCCUUUGAUACUGGCUGUCUUGAGUUUGGGAGAGGUGAGUGGAACUCCGAGUGUAGAGGUGAAAUUCGUAGAUAUUCGGAAGAACACCAGUGGCGAAGGCGACUCACUGGCCCAAUACUGACGCUGAGGCGCGAAAGCGUGGGGAGCAAACAGGAUUAAAAACCCUAGUAGUCC